rnacentral:rRNA from 1 species
CCUACGGGAGGCAGCAGUGAGGAAUAUUGGUCAAUGGCCGGAAGGCUGAACCAGCCAAGCCGCGUGAGGGAUGACGGUCCUAUGGAUUGUAAACCUCUUUUGUCAGGGAGCAAAGGGCGCCACGUGUGGCGCUUUGCGAGUACCUGAAGAAAAAGCAUCGGCUAACUCCGUGCCAGCAGCCGCGGUAAUACGGAGGAUGCGAGCGUUAUCCGGAUUUAUUGGGUUUAAAGGGUGCGCAGGCGGAAUGUCAAGUCAGCGGUAAAAUUUCGGGGCUCAACCCCGUCGUGCCGUUGAAACUGGCGUUCUUGAGUGAGCGAGAAGUAUGCGGAAUGCGUGGUGUAGCGGUGAAAUGCAUAGAUAUCACGCAGAACUCCGAUUGCGAAGGCAGCAUACCGGCGCUCAACUGACGCUCAUGCACGAAAGCGUGGGUAUCGAACAGGAUUAGAUACCCGUGUAGUC